rnacentral:lncRNA from 1 species
AUGCUAUGGAGGGGUCCAUGCUAUGGGGGUGUCCAUGCUAUGGGGUGGGGUCCAUGCUAUGGAGGGGUCCAUGCUAUGGAGGGGUCCAUGUUCUGGGGGUGUCCAUGCUAUGGGGUGGGGUCCAUGCUAUGGAGGGGUCCAUGCUAUGGGGGUGUCCAUGCUAUGGAGGGCUCCAUGCUAUGGGGUGGGGUCCAUGCUAUGGAGGGGUCCAUGCUGUGGGGGUGUCCAUGCUAUGGAGGGGUCCAUGCUAUGGAGGGGUCCAUGCUAUGGGGGUGUCCAUGCUCUGGCUGUGCCCGUUCUCUCUCUGGGGUGUCUCCUUCUUCCGGUCCCCCCCACUCGGGCGUGCGCGGGUCCGGGGGGGGGGGGGCCCAUUGGCGCUGCCUUUGUCGCGGAAGGGCGGAUGCGAACGGAGCGGGGGGGGGGGGGAAUCCCGUCCCUUCCCUUCCCCCCCCCCCCCGGAGCUCAAUGGGAGGGUCCGGGGGGGUCCCCGUGUACUCACCCCGGAGCGGAGCGGGACCCGGCGGCCGGGCCGGACCAAGCGGAUGCGGGAGGGGGGGGGGGGGGAAGGAGGGGGGGGGGAAUGAAAAGCGGCUUUUCCCGCGGGGGGGGGGAGGGGUGGGGAGGUGGGGGAGGGGCGCGAUGACUCGCAGGAACCCGGGGCGGGUUCCCCCCCCCCCCCGCCUUUGUUCUAAUGGAGGGACCCAAGUGAGGGGGGGGAGCGCAAAGAGGAACCCCCGAACCCCCCCCGCUGCAGGGGGGGUCUUUGUGUGGGGCAGGAGGGGAGGGGGAGGUGAGGGGGGGUGUAAAGGAGGGAGGGGCGGGGUCUGUGCGAGGGGCGGGGCUUGUUUGGGAAGGGGCGGGGCGAGGCCCAUGGGGUGUUAUUGUAGGGUCGCGGGUGCAGCGACACCGCGUGGUGACUUUGGGGUCCCCCCCUCCGAUCCCAGUGAUCCACACACCGGGAUCCAUCCCAUCCCAUUGCAUUGGUGUGGGGGUCCCCCAUUGAUCACCCCCCAUCUCCAUGGGUUCUUCCUGUUACGGAUCCCCCCCCUCCUUUCCCCAUGGUCCCCCCCAAAGCUCUGCUCCUUAGCACCGCUUAGAUCCAUCUGGAUCCCCCCAAAUCCCUGUCCUUGGAAUCCUCCCAAUUCCCAGUAUCCCCCCAUUAAAAGGACCCCUUAA